rnacentral:rRNA from 1 species
GAUGAACGCUAGCUACAGGCUUAACACAUGCAAGUCGAGGGGUAGCAGGGUAGCAAUACCGCUGACGACCGGCGCACGGGUGAGUAACACGUAUCCAACCUUCCCAUAACUCGGGGAUAGCCUUUCGAAAGAAAGAUUAAUACCCGAUAGUAAUUAAGAAAGGCAUCUUUUUUAAGUUAAAGAUUUAUUGGUUAUGGAUGGGGAUGCGUUCCAUUAGAUAGUUGGUGAGGUAACGGCUCACCAAGUCUUCGAUGGUUAGGGGUUCUGAGAGGAAGGUCCCCCACAUUGGUACUGAGACACGGACCAAACUCCUACGGGAGGCAGCAGUGAGGAAUAUUGGUCAAUGGGCGAGAGCCUGAACCAGCCAAGUAGCGUGAAGGAUGAAGGUCCUAUGGAUUGUAAACUUCUUUUAUAGUAGAAUAAAGUGACCCACGUGUGGAUUUUUGUAUGUAUACUAUGAAUAAGGAUCGGCUAACUCCGUGCCAGCAGCCGCCGUAA